rnacentral:rRNA from 1 species
GUAGUCUCGCACAGAUGCAUAUCAAUAAGCGGAGGAAAAGAAACUAACAAGGAUUCCCCUAGUAACGGCGAGUGAAGCGGGAAGAGCUCAAAUUUGAAAUCUUAAAGGGUUUCCCUUUACGAAUUGUAGUUUAAAGAAGUGUUUUCUGUUGAGGUUUUGGUAAAAGUUCCUUGGAAUAGGACAUCAUAGAGGGUGAGAAUCCCGUAUUUGACCUUUACUUUCAACUUUGUGAUACACUUUCAAAGAGUCGGAUUGUUUGGGAAUGCAGUCCAAAAUGGGUGGUAAAUUUCAUCUAAAGCUAAAUAUUGGCGAGAGACCGAUAGCGAACAAGUACCGUGAGGGAAAGAUGAAAAGAACUUUGAAAAGAGAGUUAAACAGUACGUGAAAUUGUCAAAAGGGAAGCGUUUGACACCAGUGUUGUUUUUCUGAAAAUCAAUUAAAGAACUGUUUAUGCUAGGCUGUUUAGACUUUAUCAGCUAUCUGUUUAGUUUUGAGCUUUUCUUUAAUGCACUUUUCAGUUAACAAGUCAACAUCAAUUUCUUUUGCUGUAAAAAAGCUUGAGGAAGGUGGCUUGAGAUUCGUCUUAAGUGUUUAUAGCCUCUUGCCUUAUGCAGUCGGAGAGAUUGAGGUCUGCAGCGUAGAUCCUUCGGGGCUAAAUGCAUUUGUGCUAAGUUAUAGCAUUUUAUAGACAACUUGUUGACUAUGAUUUGUCUUGUAGCUUACUCGCUUAUGUUAUUUUACCUACGCUUAGGAUGUUGAACUACUGAGACAUAG